rnacentral:tRNA from 1 species
UCGGAUAUGGUGUAACGGCUAACAUUGCCGCCUUUCAAACGUUCGCGGCAGCUCGGGGUUCGAUUCCCCGUAUCCGAA